rnacentral:tRNA from 1 species
UAACGUAUGGCUUAGUGGUGAGAGCGCUAGUGCGGCUUACAAAAGGUGUGAGUUCAAAUUACACUACGUUCA